rnacentral:rRNA from 1 species
GAUGAACGCUGGCGGCGUGCCUAAUACAUGCAAGUCGAGCGAACAGACGAGGAGCUUGCUCCUCUGACGUUAGCGGCGGACGGGUGAGUAACACGUGGAUAACCUACCUAUAAGACUGGGAUAACUUCGGGAAACCGGAGCUAAUACCGGAUAAUAUAUUGAACCGCAUGGUUCAAUAGUGAAAGACGGUUUUGCUGUCACUUAUAGAUGGAUCCGCGCCGCAUUAGCUAGUUGGUAAGGUAACGGCUUACCAAGGCAACGAUGCGUAGCCGACCUGAGAGGGGGAUGGGCCAAACUGGAAUGGAGACCCGGCCCAAACUCCUAGGGGGGGAAGCGGGAGGAAACUUCCCGAAAGGGGGGAAAGCCGACGGGGGAAACCCCGGGGGGGGAAGAAAGGUUUUGGGAUGGAAAAACCCUUUUUUUAGGGAAAAAAAAAUGUGUAAGUAACUUUGCCCGUUUUGACGGUCCCAAAGCAAAAAGCCACGGCUAACUACGG